AAAGAAUUACUCCUAACCUUACUGUUAAUUUUCGCUAAACAUAUACAUGCAAGUAUCCGCGCACCAGUGUAAAUGCCCUCAGCGUCUACCCCACAGACCUAAGGAGCAGGUAUCAGGCGCACUACACCGUAGCCCAAGACGCCUUGCUCAGCCACACCCCCACGGGUAUUCAGCAGUAAUUGACAUUAAGCAAUAAGUGCAAACUUGACUUAGUUAUAGCGACCACCGGGUCGGUAAAUCUUGUGCCAGCCACCGCGGUCACACAAGAGACCCGAACUAACAGUAAUCGGCGUAAAGUGUGGUAACAUGUUAUCCAGCUAGCUAAGACCAAAAUGCAACUAAGCUGUCAUAAGCUAACGAUGCACCUAAAACCCCCAUAAAAAUGGUCUUAGUACCCACGAUCAAUUUAAACCCACGAAAGCUAAGGCACCAACUGGGAUUAGAUACCCCACUAUGCUUAGCCCUAAAUCCUGAUACUUACCCCACCUAAGUAUCCGCCCGAGAACUACGAGCACAAACGCUUAAAACUCUAAGGACUUGGCGGUGCCCUAAACCCACCUAGAGGAGCCUGUUCUAUAAUCGAUAACCCACGAUACACCCGACCAUCUCUUGCCCAUGCAGCCUACAUACCGCCGUCCCCAGCCCGCCUUAAGUGAAAGAACAGCAGGCAUAAUAGCUACCCGCUAACAAGACAGGUCAAGGUAUAGCAUAUGGGAUGGAAGAAAUGGGCUACAUUUUCUAAUCUAGAACAACCACGGAAGAGGGCAUGAAACACCCUCCGAAGGCGGAUUUAGCAGUAAAGUAGGAUCAGAAAGCCCACUUUAAGCCGGCCCUAGGGCACGUACAUACCGCCCGUCACCCUCCUCACAAGCUAUCUUACUAAAUAAAUAAUACUAUUAUCAGCUAAAGAUGAGGCAAGUCGUAACAAGGUAAGUGUACCGGAAGGUGCACUUAGCACAC
rnacentral:ncRNA from 1 species